rnacentral:lncRNA from 10 species
GAACCCUGAAGACUGUCCUCAGAGCCUGCUGCCUUUUAUCCCCCGCCACAAAGGGGCCGGCAGCCACAUGCCCAUCCAUCUUGCGCCUGUGGCGGUCCUUAAGCAGUUCUUUGUUGGGACCUAGGGUCAGAGGUGCUGGCCAGUACGCCCCCUCUCCUGGGACCACCGCCCCUGGGGCCCUUUCUUCCUCCUCCUCCCCUCCUCCCAAGUGUCUCAGGAUCUCUCCACUUUCUCCUGUGUCACCUCCCCUGUCCCCUCCCUUUCCUCUCCUCCCACCCAGUCUCCUCCCUCUCUCUUUUUUUUGCCUCUCUCUUCUCUCAUUUUCUGUCUGUGUGUCUUACACUGUGUGUGUCCCUCGCAUUCUCCAUCUCUGUCUGUGUCUCUCAUUCUGCCUCUCUCUGUCUUUCUCGGGGCUUCCAUCUCUGGUUCUGCAGCUCCGCAUCCCUCCUUUGAGGACCGCUGUAACUCGGCCCUUCCUGCCACACGCAGGCAUGAAGUUGUCCUCAGGUGCUAGGGUCUCGGAGGCCCCACUGGGCCCUGGGCUCCUGCUGGGCUUUGUCCUCUCUGGUCUCAGCUGUGCCCUGAGCACCUCUGGGUUUUGACUUCACUGGGCCUUUCUCUCAGCUCCACACUCCCAUCUCUUGUGGGGGAAGAAGAGGAAUCGGCCCUGCCUCAGUUUCCCUAAGAUGUAGGUGCAGACUCUCCCAGUGCCUGUCAGGGUCUGCCAUGUAUGUCAGCCUCCCAACCCCAAGGCAGAGUCAUUCGCUUCCUGCACCCCCCUCCCCUCCCCACUUGCCUUGCCCUUCCACCUUCUCUGGGCCCCCUUGUUCCAACUGUGGCAGGACUGGAACCAUGUUUCGGCCUCUCCUGUGGUUGGGCUCUGAGAAGCUUGGACUUCAGAGAAGAGAAGCCUCUCUGCCCACAAAGAUCUCACAGAAUUUUGGGGGCACAGGCAGGAGGUGAGAGCUGCUGUGCCUUUUCUCCCAAACGCACUGCUGAGUAACAAAGGCCCAGGCUGGCCCUGGCGGGCAGGAAAGUAACUGGAGAAGCAGAGCCAGGAAAGGGAGCAGCCCCCGCUCUGCACUCAGGGAGUCUCCCCAUCUCAGGGAUGAGACACAGCCUCUGCCUUCAGGGAGCCCCCAGUCUGAGCAGGGAGCCCCAGCUCCUGCUCUCAGGGAUCUCCUGGGAAAAAGAGAGGCCUCCUCUCUCUGCCUUUCUCAAUAACUUUGUUCUAGGAAGAGACAAACUAGGCAGAGAAAUAAGAGCACGCGCUCCAGACGAAUGGAAAGACAGAGCUUCAGCCUCCAGAGCCUAAGGACGUGGGGAGUAGGGAGCCAGGCUAAGGUGGGAAGGGGUAGGGGGAGCUGGGUGACCUGGAUGGGAAUGAGAUGGAGCAAGGAAUCUGGAAGGAGGUGAGAUGGGAGGCGGUGAUGCAGAAAGGAGGAGAGGAAACAAACAAACAGGCUGGGGCACAGUGGCUUACGCCUGUAAUCCCAGCACUUUGGGAGGCGAAGGCGGGCAGAUAGCUUGAGGCCAGGAAUUUACCAGCCUGGCCAACAUGGCAAAACCCCCGUCUCUACUAAAAAUACAAAAAUUAACUGGGCAUGGUGGCGCACGCUUAUAUUCCCAGCUACUCAGG